rnacentral:rRNA from 1 species
AGCGAACGCUGGCGGCAGGCCUAAUACAUGCAAGUCGAGCGGGUGUAGCAAUACACCAGCGGCAGACGGGAGAGUAACACGUGGGAACGUGCCCUUCAGUUCGGAACAACCCAGGGAAACUUGGGCUAAUACCGGAUACGUCCGAAAGGAGAAAGAUUUAUCGCUGAAGGAUCGGCCCGCGUCUGAUUAGCUUGUUGGUGAGGUAACGGCUCACCAAGGCGACGAUCAGUAGCUGGUCUGAGAGGAUGAUCAGCCUCACUGGGACUGAGACACGGCCCAGACUCCUACGGGAGGCAG